rnacentral:rRNA from 1 species
GACGAACGCUGGCGGCGUGCCUAAUACAUGCAGGUAGAACGCUGAAGAGAGGAGCUUGCUCUUCUUGGAUGAGUUGCGAACGGGUGAGUAACGCGUAGGUAACCUGCCUUGUAGCGGGGGAUAACUAUUGGAAACGAUAGCUAAUACCGCAUAACAAUGGAUGACACAUGUCAUUUAUUUGAAAGGGGCAAUUGCUCCACUACAAGAUGGACCUGCGUUGUAUUAGCUAGUAGGUGAGGUAAUGGCUCACCUAGGCGACGAUACAUAGCCGACCUGAGAGGGUGAUCGGCCACACUGGGACUGAGACACGGCCCAGACUCCUACGGGAGGCAGCAGUAGGGAAUCUUCGGCAAUGGGGGCAACCCUGACCGAGCAACGCCGCGUGAGUGAAGAAGGUUUUCGGAUCGUAAAGCUCGGUUGUAAGUCAAGAACGGGUGUGAGAGUGGAAAGUUCACACUGUGACGGUAGCUUACCAGAAAGAGACGGCUAACUACGUG